rnacentral:rRNA from 1 species
UACGUAGGGUGCAAGCGUUAUCCGGAAUCAUUGGGCGUAAAGCGUUCGUAGGUGGUUAAGCAAGUUUGCGGUUAAAUCCGGUCGCUCAACGAUCGACUCGUCGCAAAAACUACUUAGCUCGAGAUUGGCAGAGGUCACUGGAAUUCCACAUGUAGGGGUAAAAUCCGUUGAUAUGUGGAGGAACACCAAAAGCGAAGGCAGGUGACUGGGCCAUUUCUGACACUUAGGAACGAAAGCGUGGGGAGCAAACAGG